UGUGCACAGAGUGCUGUUGUUUGUACAGUCAUGGGGAUACUACCCUGUCCCAUUAAACUACCACCAAAAAUAAAAGAAUAGUAGACCUCCAACCCCACACACUGCAAAAACCAAAUAUUAGGAAAUUAAAGAACUUGUUUACUGUAACCUAAUCUGCUUGAAGAGCCCAAUCCAGUGCCCAGUGAAUCACAUGGAAAUCCUUCCAUUGACAUUGGAUCAGGCCUUAAACACAUUACAAACACAUAAAGGGAGCCCACUGAAGCUAAAAAAUCUGGGCUGUCACCACAAUUCUCUUCUCUUCCCCCUCACUCCCUAUGCUGAUUUCCCAAGGGUGCGGAUGACAGUAACAGCCAACACCUGAGAGUCUCUUUUGCCUUUGGGGGUUUGUCUGGCCUCUGGAAAGCAGAGAACAGUUUGUAUAAAUCUUUGAAAAGCACAUUCCACCAGCCAAGAAUGUUGCCCUCCUGGCCCCGGCGUUUUGCAUCUCUUGAUCCUUGUUACAGAAAUAGGACUCUUGGCUGCAGCUCUGUACAGUUCCUAAACUGUCUGUCAUCGACUAAUUUCCACACCAGCCAGCGGUGUUGCCACAAAUACAGGAUUUUGACUUGGUGUGGGGCAGCAGGAGGGAAAGGGGGAAGCUAAUGGGAGGCGAAGUCAGCAGCAGCAGCACCAAUCAUUUUUUCGUGCGAAUUUAACGGACAAUGGGAAGCAGCAGAGUUGGCUGAAGGAGAAUGUUGUUCCGAAUUUUCGAUCAAGGGCACCAGAACAAUGAAGUUCCUGAGCAAAUCCUCCAUACCGAUGCAUUGGGCAAUGUCUUCUGCUCUGCUUGUGAGAACGUGGGCAGAGAGAUCGGCUCCAGAUCGGGAUUGGAAGCUGACACCGAGCUCCUGUACCCUGCUCGCUGUGAGAGGAUUUGCAUCCAGAACUGAUGGGAAGAUACGUGGAGGCGAAUGGGAUUCCAAACCCUAGGCUGGCCCCAGCCCAGGGACGAGGCUCCAGAUUGCGUCGGGAAGGUCGGUGGGAGAGUCGGCUGGAAGAAGAGAGGUUGCACGCCUUGGGCCCACCUUUUCCUGCCCUGGCAGGGCACUCAGCUGGAAA